AGAGGUGUUCCCAAUUGGUUUUUCAGCAGGAAGAGGUGGAGGGAUAUGUGGAACUUCAUUUAAAGCUGGAGAAGUAUUAAAUUGUUUUACACUUGGGGAGAGCCACUUUAACUCCCAAUUGGACCUCCACAGAAGCUCAGUUACUGGGAGUUACUGAAAGGAGAUGCUGAAUCACUAAAGAAAAAAAAAUCUGUCUGGACAUGCAUAUUAACAAUCGAGACGUGAGAAUUACACUGGGAAGGAGGAACACACCUAUCUGCCUUCAUUAGACUGGCUCUUACAGCUGAGGGUACAUGUGAUUGUGCAAACCAAAAAGCUUUCCAGCUUUGUGAGAGCUAAUCAGUGCCAGCUCUUGGUGGCGUGGGCUGGGAGAUGGAAGAUAUUGUGGUUAAUAGUCAAGAUGGGACCAUAACGCCACAUUUGAUAUCCAA